rnacentral:tRNA from 1 species
UGGGUUGUGGCUCAGCAGUAGAGUGCUUGCCUAGCAUGUGUGAGGCCCUGGGUUUGAUUCUCAGCACCACAU